rnacentral:rRNA from 1 species
UAGGGAAUCUUCCACAAUGGACGCAAGUCUGAUGGAGCAACGCCGCGUGAGUGAAGAAGGUCUUCGGAUCGUAAAGCUCUGUUGUUGGUGAAGAAGGAUAGAGGCAGUAACUGGUCUUUAUUUGACGGUAAUCAACCAGAAAGUCACGGCUAACUACGUGCCAGCAGCCGCGGUAAUACGUAGGUGGCAAGCGUUGUCCGGAUUUAUUGGGCGUAAAGCGAGCGCAGGCGGAAUGAUAAGUCUGAUGUGAAAGCCCACGGCUCACCGUGGAACUGCAUCGGAAACUGUCAUUCUUGAGUGCAGAAGAGGAGAGUGGAACUCCAUGUGUAGCGGUGGAAUGCGUAGAUAUAUGGAAGAACACCAGUGGCGAAGGCGGCUCUCUGGUCUGCAACUGACGCUGAGGCUCGAAAGCAUGGGUAGCGAACAGGAUUAGAUACCCUGGUAGUCCAUGCCGUAAACGAUGAGCGCUAGGUGUUGGGGCAC